rnacentral:rRNA from 1 species
UGCAAGUCGAGCGGCAGCGCGGGGCAACCUGGCGGCGAGCGGCGAACGGGUGAGUAAUGUAUCGGAACGUAUCCUUGAGUGGGGGACAACCUAGCGAAAGUUAGGCUAAUACCGCAUGAGCUCGGGAGAGGAAAGCGGGGGAUCGCAAGACCUCGCGCUGAAGGAGCGGCCGAUAUCAGAUUAGCUAGAUGGUGAGGUAAAGGCUUACCAUGGCGACGAUCUGUAGCUGGUCUGAGAGGAUGAUCAGCCACACUGGGACUGAGACACGGCCCAGACUCCUACGGGAGGCAGCAGUGGGGAAUUUUGGACAAUGGGGGCAACCCUGAUCCAGCCAUUCCGCGUGAGUGAAGAAGGCCUUCGGGUUGUAAAGCUCUUUUGUCGGGGACGAAACGGUUUUGGUUAAUACCUAAGACUACUGACGGUACCCGAAGAAUAAGCACCGGCUAACUACGUGCCAGCAGCCGCGGUAAUACGUAGGGUGCAAGCGUUAAUCGGAAUUACUGGGCGUAAAGCGUGCGCAGGCGGUUUUGUAAGCCAGAUGUGAAAUCCCCGGGCUUAACCUGGGAAUGGCAUUUGGGACUGCAAGGCUAGAGUACGGCAGAGGAGACUAGAAUUCCUGGUGUAGCAGUGAAAUGCGUAGAUAUCAGGAGGAAUACCGAUGGCGAAGGCAGGUCUCUGGGCUGAUACUGACGCUCAUGCA